UACGAAGGGGCUAGCGUUGUUCGGAUUUACUGGGCGUAAAGCGCACGUAGGCGGAUUGUUAAGUGAGGGGUGAAAUCCUGGAGCUCAACUCCAGAACUGCCUUUCAUACUGGCAAUCUAGAGUCCGGAAGAGGUAAGUGGAACUCCUAGUGUAGAGGUGGAAUUCGUAGAUAUUAGGAAGAACACCAGUGGCGAAGGCGGCUUACUGGGACGGUACUGACGGCUGAGACGCGAAAGCGUGGGGAGCGAACAGGG
rnacentral:rRNA from 1 species